AGAGUUUGAUCCUGGCUCAGGAUGAACGCUAGCGGCAGGCUUAAUACAUGCAAGUCGAGGGGUAGCAUGAUUGUAGCAAUACAAUUGAUGACGACCGGCAAACGGGUGCGGAACACGUACACAACCUUCCUACAAGUGGGGAAUAGCCCAGAGAAAUUUGGAUUAAUACCCCGUAACAUAGCGAUGUGGCAUCACAUUGCUAUUAUAGCUUCGGCGCUUGUUGAUGGGUGUGCGGCUGAUUAGAUAGUUGGCGGGGUAACGGCCCACCAAGUCUACGAUCAGUAGCUGAUGUGAGAGCAUGAUCAGCCACACGGGCACUGAGACACGGGCCCGACUCCUACGGGAGGCAGCAGUAAGGAAUAUUGGACAAUGGACGCAAGUCUGAUCCAGCCAUGCCGCGUGAAGGAUUAAGGUCCUCUGGAUUGUAAACUUCUUUUAUAAGGGACGAAAAAAGGUCUUUCUAGAUCGUCUGACGGUACCUUAUGAAUAAGCACCGGCUAACUCCGUGCCAGCAGCCGCGGUAAUACGGAGGGUGCAAGCGUUAUCCGGAUUCACUGNGUNUAAAGGGUGCGUANGCGGGCAGGUAAGUCAGUGGUGAAAUC
rnacentral:rRNA from 1 species